rnacentral:rRNA from 16 species
GCUAACGCAUUAAGUGCCCCGCCUGGGGAGUACGGCCGCAAGGCUAAAACUCAAAGGAAUUGACGGGGGCCCGCACAAGCGGCGGAGCAUGUGGAUUAAUUCGAUGCAACGCGAAGAACCUUACCAAGGCUUGACAUGGGCUGGAUUGCUUCGGAGACGGGGUUUCCCUUUUUUGGGCUGGUUCACAGGUGGUGCAUGGUUGUCGUCAGCUCGUGUCGUGAGAUGUUGGGUUAAGUCCCGUAACGAGCGCAACCCUUGUCCUUAGUUACCAGCACGUUAAGGUGGGCACUCUAAGGAGACUGCCGGUGACAAACCGGAGGAAGGUGGGGAUGACGUCAAAUCAUCAUGCCCCUUAUGUCUUGGGCUUCACGCAUGCUACAAUGGCCGGUACAAAGGGCUGCUAAGCCGUGAGGUGGAG